GGGUUCAUUUUUUUAAUGCCGCUCUACGCUAUCUGCAGUCGAGCGGACAGAUGGGAACUUGCUCCCUGAUGUUAGCGGCGGACGGGUGAGUAACACGUGGGUAACCUGCCUGUAAGACUGGGAUAACUCCGGGAAACCGGGGCUAAUACCGGAUGGUUGUUUGAACCGCAUGGUUCAGACAUAAAAGGUGGCUUCGGCUACCACUUACAGAUGGACCCGCGGCGCAUUAGCUAGUUGGUGAGGUAACGGCUCACCAAGGCGACGAUGCGUAGCCGACCUGAGAGGGUGAUCGGCCACACUGGGACUGAGACACGGCCCAGACUCCUACGGGAGGCAGCAGUAGGGAAUCUUCCGCAAUGGACGAAAGUCUGACGGAGCAACGCCGCGUGAGUGAUGAAGGUUUUCGGAUCGUAAAGCUCUGUUGUUAGGGAAGAACAAGUGCCGUUCAAAUAGGGCGGCACCUUGACGGUACCUAACCAGAAAGCCACGGCUAACUACGUGCCAGCAGCCGCGGUAAUACGUAGGUGGCAAGCGUUGUCCGGAAUUAUUGGGCGUAAAGGGCUCGCAGGCGGUUUCUUAAGUCUGAUGUGAAAGCCCCCGGCUCAACCGGGGAGGGUCAUUGGAAACUGGGGAACUUGAGUGCAGAAGAGGAGAGUGGAAUUCCACGUGUAGCGGUGAAAUGCGUAGAGAUGUGGAGGAACACCAGUGGCGAAGGCGACUCUCUGGUCUGUAACUGACGCUGAGGAGCGAAAGCGUGGGGAGCGAACAGGAUUAGAUACCCUGGUAGUCCACGCCGUAAACGAUGAGUGCUAAGUGUUAGGGGGUUUCCGCCCCUUAUUGCUGCAGCUAACCAAUUAAUCACUCCUCCUGGGGGAGUACGGUUCGCAAGACUGAAAUCUC
rnacentral:rRNA from 1 species